GCAGGUAUGAUGGAAUUGGUAGACAUAGAGGACUUAAACCCCUCUGACCGUAUGGUCGUGCAAGUUCGAGUCUUGCUACCUGUA
rnacentral:tRNA from 1 species